CAUGGAGAAUCCUCAGCUUAAGCUUAGCAAGUUAUUUUGGGGAGUUACCCCUCGUCAUUUUAAAUAGUGUGCCCCAGAGAGAUCCAAGCUCCAUCCAAGGACCUGAGCCAGAACCGUCAGGCUGCUUGUCUGAGAUGGUGACCCACCGACUGCAGGAGGUACAGAAAAGCACCCGUCUGUAAGAUGGAGAACAGCCCUUCCCUCAGCUUAAAAUCAGGAUGAGAAGAAAAUAGUCAUUUUAAAGGGGAUAUAAGGGGGAAGAUAAAGGCAGAGAGCUGGUAAGCCUCCAGCCGGUUGAGACAGAUGGCUGCUCGAACUCAGUCUGGUUCUGCUGGAGGGAAUGGUCCUUCUCCACUGGGAGUGCUCAGGAUGUGGAGUUUCUUCAGUUCUUCACUUUGAUGCAAUCUGAUCGUUUGCUCAGACAACAUUUUACUAAUUGGCAUUUUAUGAAUUCCUGAAUGUAAUUGUUGGGAAUUGCACUGAAAGCUUAUUCAAGUAGACUUCAGCUUAGCAGACUGAUUUUAAAUAUGGAUUGAUUAAAUAUAACUGGAUAAGAAUU